UACGUAGGGAGCAAGCGUUGUCCGGAAUCAUUGGGCGUAAAGCGCGCGUAGGCGGCCCUGUAAGUCCGUUGUGAAAGUCAAAGGCUCAACCUUUGAAAGCCGAUGGAUACUGCAGGGCUAGAGUCCGGAAGAGGCGAGUGGAAUUCUUGGUGUAGCGGUGGAAUGCGCAGAUAUCAGGAGGAACACCAAUAGCGAAGGCAGCUCGCUGGGACGGUACUGACGCUAAGGCGCGAAAGUGUGGGGAGCGAACAGG
rnacentral:rRNA from 1 species